rnacentral:rRNA from 1 species
GAUGAACGCUGGCGGCGUGCCUAAUACAUGCAAGUCGAGCGAACGGACGAGAAGCUUGCUUCUCUGAUGUUAGCGGCGGACGGGUGUGUCACACGUGGAUAACCUACCUAUAAGUCUGGGAUCACUUCGGGAAACCGGCGCUAAUACCGGAGAAUAUUUUGAACCGCAUGGUUCAAAAGUGAAAUACGGUCUUGCUGUCACUUAUAGAUGGAUCUGGGCUGCAUUAGCUAGUUGGUAAGGUAACGGCUUACCAAGGCAACGAUGCAUAGCCGACGUGAGAGGGGGAUAGGCGACACGGGAACUGGAACACGGUCAUGACUCCUACGGGAGGCAGCAGUAGGGAAUGGUAGGCAAUGGGCGGAAGCCUGACGGAGCAACGCGACGUGAGUGAUGAAGGUGUUCGGAGCGGAAUACUCUGUUAUUAGGGAAGAACAUAUGUGUAAGGAAAUGUGCACAGCUUGACGGUACCGGAUCAGAAAGCCACGGCUAACUACGUG